rnacentral:lncRNA from 1 species
GUAUUCCGAGGUUUUGGGGCUAAUAAUCCACUCAUCAGUGAGAGCGUACUGUGUGUGGUUUUUUGUGAUGGUUUACUUCACGCCCUUCACAAUAGCCACAAAUAAUAUAAAAGACCUUGGUGUGACUCUAACAACGCAAGUGAAAGAUCUGUAUGACAAGAACUUCAAGUCUCUCAAGCAAGAAAUAAAAGAUCUCAGAAGAUGGAAAGAUCUCCCAUGCUCGUGGAAUGGCAGGAUUAAUGUAGUAAAAAUGGCCAUCUUACUGAAAACAAUCUAUAGAUUCAAUGCAAUCCCCAUCAAAAUUCCAAAUCAAUUCUUCAUAGAGUUAGAACAAUUUGCAAAUUCAUCUGGAAUUUAAAAAAAAACCUAGGAUAGUAAAAACUAUUCUCAACAAUAAAAGAACUUCUGGGGGAAUCAACAUCCCUGACCUCAAACUGUAUUACAGAGCGAUAGUGAUUUAAAAAAAAAAAAAAAAAAAAAAAAGCUAGGCAUGAUGGCGCACGCCUUUAAUCCCAGCACUUGGGAGGCAGAGGCAGGCAGAUUUCUGAGUUCAAGGCCAGCCUGGUCUACAGAGUGAGUUCUAGGACAGCCAGGACUACACAGAGAAACCGUGUCUCAAAAAAACAAAACAAAACAAAAAAACCAAAAAACUUACUCAACAAGCAGAAAUCAUGCACGUGUGCACAUGCUGUUUGUCAAGCAUCACCACAGUGAUUGAUCAAAUGCUCAUCAUAUAAACAAUAGACAGCCACAAUCACACUCAGUGCUACAGAAGUGAGGCUCAGAUAGCAUGGGAAUAAAACUUCUUAACUUCAUCAGGGAUCAGCAAGGGAGACUAGAGGGAAAUGCCACACCUCAGUUUAACAGCACAUGACUUGCUUUUCCUAAAAUGUAGACUUUGGGUCAGAUGGCUUGUUAGGUAAAGGCACUUGCUUCCAAACUUGUCAAACCUGAGUACAACCCCUGGGAUGCACAUAAUAGAAAAAGACUAAUUUUCUUUGUUUGUUUGUUUCGAGACAGGGUUUCGUGAUGUGUAGCCCUGGCUGUCCUGGAACACACUUUGUAGACUAGGCUGUCCUUGAACUCAGAAAUUCGCCUGCCUCUGCCUCCCAAGUAAAAAAACCAAUUCUUACAAGUUGUUCUUUGACCUUAAUCCAUGAACCAUAGUACACAAAUGCUUUCCACCCCAUCUACAUGCAUGUGCACACAAAUAAAUAAGUAAAAAAUAUUAUCAUUUUAAAGUAAAUUUGGGGGAAGAAUAAUAUCUAGAAUUUAUUUAUCCUCAAGAUCCAGAAAUUUUUCGUGUGGGUAGAAAUUUCUCAUUAAAGAUUGAUUCUUGAUCUUAACACACACACACACACACACACACACACACACACACACCCUGCAUGGUAUUGUUACAGACACACAGGUAGAUCAAUGGAACAUAAUUGAAGACCCAGAAAUGAACCCACACAGCUACAGUCACUUGAUCUUUGACAAAGGAGCUAAAACCAUCCAGUGGAAAAAAAGACAGCAUUUUCAACAAACAGUGCUGGUUCAACUAGAGGUCAGCAUGUAGAAGAUUGCAAAUCAAUCCAUUCUUAUCUCCUUGUACAAAGCUCAAGUCUAAGUGGAUCAAGGCCCUCCACAUAAAUCCAGACACACUGAAACUAAUGAAAGAGAAAGUAGGGAAGAGCCUCUAGUACAGGGGAAGUUUUCCUGAACAGAACACCAAUAGCUUAUGCUCUAAGAUCAAACAUUGACAAAUGGUACCUCAUAAAAUUGCAAAGCUUCUGUAAGGCAAAGGACACUCUCAAUAGGACAAAACAGCAACCAAAAACUUGGGAAAAGAUCUUUACCAACCCUACAUUCCAUAGAGGGCUAAUAUCCAAUAUAGACAAAGAACUCAAGAAGUUAAGACUCCAGAGAACCAAAUAAUCCUAUUAAAAAUGGGGUACAGAGCUAAACAGAUAACUCUCAACUGAGGAAACUCGAAUGGCCAAAAAACACCUAAAGAAAUGUUCAACAUCCUUAGUCAUCAGGAGAAUGCAAGUCAAAACAUCCCUGAGAUUCCACCUCACACAGUCAGAAUGGCUAAGAUCAAAAACUCAGGUGACAGCAGAUGCUGGCGAGGAUGUGAAGAAAGAGGAACACUCCUCUAUUGCUGGUGGGAUUGCAAGCUGGUAAAAACAAUGCGGAAAUCAGUUUGGCAGUUCCUCAGAAAAUUGGAUAUAGUACUACCUGAGGACCCAGCUCUAUCCAAAAGAUGCUCCAAUGUAUAACAAGGACAGAUGCUCCACUAUGUUCGUAGCAGCCUUAUUUAUAAUAGCCAGAAGCUG